rnacentral:rRNA from 1 species
AACGAACGCCGGCGGCGUGCCUAACACAUGCAAGUCGAGCGCGAAAGGCCCCUUCGGGGGACGAGUAGAGCGGCGCACGGGUGAGUAACACGUGGGUAAUCUACCUUCAGGACUGGGAUAACCCGGGGAAACUCGGGCUAAUACCAGAUGGGACCACGUAGCGAGAGCUAAGUGGGAAAAGCAGGGGACUUCUUCGGAGGCCUUGUACCAGAAGAUGAGCCCGCGGCCCAUCAGCUAGUUGGCGGGGUAAAAGCCCACCAAGGCUAAGACGGGUAGCUGGUCUGAGAGGAUGAUCAGCCACACUGGUACUUAGACACGGACCAGACUCCUACGGGAGGCAGCAGUGGGGAAUAUUGCGCAAUGGACGAAAGUCUGACGCAGCAACGCCGCGUGGGUGAAGAAGGCCUUCGGGUCGUAAAGCCCUGUCAGGUGGGAAGAAACCUGCGCAAGCAGCUGACGGUACCACCAAAGGAAGCACCGGCUAACUCCGUGCCAGCCGCCGCAGUAAUAC